GCUUUCGUGGUGUAGUGGUCAGCACGCUCGACGCGUAACCGAGAGGUCCGUGGUUCGAUUCCCGGCGAAGGCG
rfam:Stegodyphus mimosarum contig55671, whole genome shotgun sequence.